UUGAUCUUUCACAAGAUACCUCAUAUAAAUUCGAGAAUAUGGCUCGAAAGUUUCUACCUGGCUACCGUAAAUGGCUGGACUAUGAGGAGACAAAUGGUUGUC
rnacentral:ncRNA from 2 species